GUGCCAGCCGCCGCGGUAAUUCCAGCUCCAAUAGCGUAUAUUAAAGUUGUUGUGGUUAAAAAGCUCGUAGUUGAACCUUGGGCCUGGCUGGCCGGUCCGCCUCACCGCGUGCACUGGUCCGGCCGGGCCUUUCCCUCUGUGGAACCCCAUACCCUUCACUGGGCGUGGCGGGGAAACAGGACAUUUACUUUGAAAAAAUUAGAGUGCUCCAGGCAGGCCUAUGCUCGAAUACAUUAGCAUGGAGUAAUAAAAUAGGACGCGCGGUUCUAUUUUGUUGGUUUAUAGGACCGCCGUAAUGAUUAAUAGGGACAGUCGGGGGCAUCAGUAUUCAACUGUCAGAGGUGAAAUUCUUGGAUCAGUUGAAGACUAACUACUGCGAAAGCAUUUGCCAAGGAUGUUUUCAUUAAUCAGGAACGAAAGUUAGGGGAUCGAAGACGAUCAGAUACCGUCGUAGUCUUAACCAUAAACUAUGCCGACUAGGGAUCGGGACGGUGUUAUUCAUGACCCGUUCGGCACCUUACGAGAAAUCAAAGUGCUUGGGCUCCAGGGGGAGUAUGUUCGCAAGGCUGAAACUUAAAGAAAUUGACGGAAGGGCACCACCAGGGGUGGAGCCUGCGGCUUAAUUUGACUCAACACGGGGAAACUCACCAGGUCCAGACACAAUAAGGAUUGACAGAUUGAGAGCUCUUUCUUGAUUUGUGGGUGGUGGUGCAUGGCCGUUCUUAGUUGAUGGGGUGACAUGUCUGCUUAACUGCGAAAUCGACGAGACCUGAGCUGCUAAAUAGUCCGCAUGCUCGCAGUGCGCUGCUCUAGAGGGACUUCCGCUCAGGCUGAGAGGAUGAGCAUAACAGGCUGUGAAUGCUUAAAUGAUCUGGUCCGGAACGGCGGCUAACAAUGACAGGU
rnacentral:rRNA from 1 species